rnacentral:misc_RNA from 1 species
AACGCACCUUGCGCUCCCUGGUAUUCCGAGGAGCAUGCCCGUUUGAGAGUCAUGGAAACCCUCAGCCCUCCAUCGCCUCCGGUGUUGGGUUGGACUUGGACGCCUGCUGCGACCUUUUCGGCUUUGCGGCUCGUCUUAAAUGCAUUAGUCGACUCCGUUGGGACCCGCCUUUGACGUGAUAGACAUCGCCGUCGAGGUUGGGACCCGACUUGAAGGGAGCGGCUCACAACCGUCUUCGGACAGUGCCCUUGACCUUUUGACCUCAAAUCGGGUAGGACUACCCGCUGAACUUAA